CUCUCUCUCUCUCUCUCUCUCUCUCUCUCUCUCUAGACAGGAUUUCUCUGUGUAGCCUCGGCUGUCUUGGAACUAGCUCUGUAGACCAAGCUGGCCUCAAACUCACAGAAUCCAGCUGCCUCUGCCUCCCGAGUGCUGGGAUUGAAGGCAUUUACAGUUGCCACCACCACCAGGCUGCAGGUCUGUCUCUUUAGGGACCCUAUUCUGCACUGAGCAAGACGGUCAUCCAUAGACGCUUGGACCACUUCCUUCCCUCACGCCUGAGCUCUGACUUCUGAGCGAGAAUCCCUGGAAUCCAUUCCAGGAGAACAGAUGAAGCCUGCAUCUCAUGCGUAGGUCUCAAGCGGAACCGCUGCUGAGGUUCAUCUAACCCCAGAGCCAGGUUUACGCUAUCCAUCAUGCAUAGAAAAUGUAUUUCUCAGACUUGCAAGCUGGCUUCUGAUAGGCGGAGCCCACGGGAGGCAUGGAGGCAUGCUGGAGAGCUGGAGAAGCCGGCCCCAUCGCACGGCCAGUCCUUGUACCGUCCUGAUUUGUCUUCUUUGCUGUGAUAACUACCAUGGCUAAAGGGAAGAAAUGGAUUCAUUUAGCUCACAGCUUAGUUCCUCACGGAGGGAAGCAAGACGGGAACUCAUUCAGGGCAGGAACCUGGAGGCAGGAGCUGACACAGACGCCGUGGAGGAGCGCUGCUUACUGAUUUUCUUCACAUGGCCUGCUUAGCCUGCUUUCUUAUACCACCCAGGACCACCCGCCGUCCAGGGGUGACGCUGCCUACAGUGAGCUGGGCCCUCUCAUCCCAGCUAUUCGUGAAGAAACUGCUCUUUGGGACAAUCUGAUGGAGUUAUUUUCUUGCCUGAGGUUGUCUCCUCUCGAAUGAUCCUACUUUAUAUCAGGUUGACAAAAACAAAGAAACAAAAACCAUAACCCCCCCCCAAAAAAAAUAAACCUCACACACACAAAAAAGAAAAAAAACGACUGAACAGCUCAGGUACCAUUGAGCCUUCGUUUUCCCAGCAGGUGAGAGGGCUGAAGAGCGCUGUGCUGCAGGCAGGCUGGCCGCCUCCCAGUUAUGACUGGGCCCACAGUCUCUCACUUGGGAACCAAGUCCUUUGUAGUACCUUUGGGAAUGGAGCCUGGUGGAGAAAGGGGCUUUAAUGAUUUUGGUGACAAGCUAGAAUGGAAAGACUCUACCUAGAGGGCUGGCUACAAGGUGCCAAGAAGAGAUUCAUGGUGAGAGGAGACAGGUGGACCUUGGACCAAGGUGACUGGCCCAGAGGACAAACUGCAGCCACACCAGAUUUGUGGAACAGAAAGCCUUUCCUUGGGGUUUCUGGGGUGCAGGAGAGGAAGGAAUCUGAUGAGAGUCCUCCAGCUCUGAUUGUCUAGGUCUCUGCAGGAAGGAGGGGAGGAGUCCCAUCCGUUGUCAGCUUGACACAGCCUAGAAUAUUCCAAGGGAGUCUCAGUGGAAGGAUCGCCCAGAUCAGACUGGCCUGCAGCCAUGCCUGUGGGAGAUGGUUUUGGUUGAUGAUGGCCAAGCCCACGGUGGGCAGCGCCAUCCCCGGUCAAGGGGGGAUGGAUGCUGUGGGGAAAGCUAGCUGAGCAUGAGCCAGUGAGCAAGCCAAUCAGGACUUUAGUGAUGGACUGUGACCUGGAAGUGUAAGCUGAAACUGAAAGGGUUAGACUAACUUUGUUACCUAUAUGUCUUCUAAAGCCUAUAGUUUUGAGUUUUAGGUCCAGGUUAAGCUAAAGCCUCUUAGUACCUUUCCAGAGAGUGAAGGAAUGUGACCCUAUUUGUGAGGACAGAUAUAAAAAAGGGCAAGCAAGCAAUGACCUUCACUCAGCAAAAGAAGGACCCUUGUCCUUGAGAUAGCGUUUCUUAGCAACAAACCUAGACUUCUUCUGAGUAGCUUUUGACCUCUGGCCAAGAGCCUGCAGCCCUAAUCUUCAAGGAUGAGCUAACCACCCCCACCUUAAAGUGCAGCUGCAUCCACACUUGGCAGGACUGGCCAAGCUUGAGCACCUAAGACUAACCAAUUAUCUUACUUUAUAGCUUCCUCAUCCAAUCCUAAAUUGCCAAAACUAAAACUUCAAAUUUCCCGCAAUUUUUCUUUUAAAAACCUAAAGGCCUUUGUCUCCCGGUGCCACUCUUUGCUGACAAGCAGGGGUGACCCCGUUGUACAAUGGUUAAUAAACCUCUUGCUUUUGCAACAA